rnacentral:rRNA from 1 species
CAGCGCCACAAGUGGCAAUCACGAUUAUUGGGCCUAAAGCAUCCGUAGCCGGCGCUGUAAGUUUUCGGUUAAAUCUGUACGCUCAACGUACAGGCUGCCGGGAAUACUGCAGCGCUAGGGAGUGGGAGAGGUAGACGGUACUCGGUAGGAAGGGGUAAAAUCCUUUGAUCUAUUGAUGACCACCUGUGGCGAAGGCGGUCUACCAGAACACGUCCGACGGUGAGGGAUGAAAGCUGGGGGAGCAAACCGGAUUAGAUACCCGAGUAGUCC